AUGCAUGUUGCGACCCCUGGACGCAUUGUUUUGGUCAAAGCUGUCCUCACAGCCAUUGCGAUAUACCAUCUCACGCCGCUGGAGCUCCCAGCUGAGGUGUGGAAAAAGAUUGAUAGCCUGCGGCGUGCUUAUCUUUGGGCUGGCUGUGACAAGGUGUCUGGUGGAAAGUGUAAGGUUAAUUGGGAGCAUGUUUGCAAGCCCAAGACCUUCGGUGGCCUGGGUGUGCUUAAUCUCGAGAAGUUUGCGACUGCCCUUCGUCUUCGCUGGCUUUGGUUCGAAUGGGCCGACCCUCCCAAAACCUGGAUGUGGAUGGAAACGCCCUGUCCUGAUACUGACAGAGAUCUUUUUUCAGCAUCCACGAUUGCGACCAUUGGUGAUGGCAAAAAAAGCAAAAUUCUGGGAGUCAUCUUGGCUCAACGGCCUCCGACCUAA
rnacentral:rRNA from 1 species